UACACUCCUACGGGAGGCAGCAGUGGGGAAUUUUGGACAAUGGGCGAAAGCCUGAUCCAGCAAUGCCGCGUGAGUGAAGAAGGCCUUCGGGUUGUAAAGCUCUUUUGUCAGGGAAGAAACGGUGAGAGCUAAUAUCUCUUGCUAAUGACGGUACCUGAAGAAUAAGCACCGGCUAACUACGUGCCAGCAGCCGCGGUAAUACGUAGGGUGCAAGCGUUAAUCGGAAUUACUGGGCGUAAAGCGUGCGCAGGCGGUUUUGUAAGUCUGAUGUGAAAUCCCCGGGCUCAACCUGGGAAUUGCAUUGGAGACUGCAAGGCUAGAAUCUGGCAGAGGGGGGUAGAAUUCCACGUGUAGCAGUGAAAUGCGUAGAUAUGUGGAGGAACACCGAUGGCGAAGGCAGCCCCCUGGGUCAAGAUUGACGCUCAUGCACGAAAGCGUGGGGAGCAAACAGGAUUAGAUACCCCUGUAGUCCCAUGAU
rnacentral:rRNA from 1 species